GACGUAGGGGGCCAGCGUUGUUCGGAAUUACUGGGUGUAAAGGGUUCGUAGGCGGUGCGGCAAGUUGGGAGUGAAAUCUCUGGGCUUAACCCAGAGGCUGCUUUCAAAACUGCUGUGCUUGAGUGUGAGAGAGGCUCGUGGAAUUGCAGGUGUAGCGGUGAAAUGCGUAGAUAUCUGCAGGAACACCCGUGGCGAAAGCGGCGAGCUGGAUCACUACUGACGCUGAGGAACGAAAGCUAGGGGAGCAAACAGG
rnacentral:rRNA from 1 species